CAGUAGCCGCGGGAAUACAGAGGGUGCGAGCGUUAAUCGGAUUUACUGGGCGUAAAGCGUGCGUAGGCGGCUUUUUAAGUCGGAUGUGAAAUCCCUGAGCUUAACUUAGGAAUUGCAUUCGAUACUGGGAAGCUAGAGUAUGGGAGAGGAUGGUAGAAUUCCAGGUGUAGCGGUGAAAUGCGUAGAGAUCUGGAGGAAUACCAAUGGCGAAGGCAGCCAUCUGGCCUAAUACUGACGCUGAGGUACGAAAGCAUGGGGAGCAAACAGGAUUAGAUACCCCUGUAGUCCCUGUCUCUUAUAC
rnacentral:rRNA from 1 species